GGGCGUUUAGUUUAGGGGUAUAAUAUUCACUUCGCAUUUAAUUGACUGCGAAAGGUCCUGGGUUCAAUUCCCAGAACGUCCA
rfam:Sphaerobolus stellatus SS14 unplaced genomic scaffold SPHSTscaffold_7, whole genome shotgun sequence.